UAUGACGAUAUUAAACAUGACUGACCGCUGCCAAGAAUUCCGAUUUCACAAGCUGUCUCUCUUGAAAUGCUGCUCGUCAUCCAAUUGGAGCUGAUGUUGUCACGCCUGACGACGCAGCAGACAGAAACCAUUUUUAGUCAUUUCUUGUCGACGCCAGAAUUACAAAUUAUAGUAAAUGCCUCCUUAAAAACCAUUCAUGUCGUCUAAAGAUAGUGUUUUGUCUGCCUUCAUAGAAGUGAAAAUCGAUGGAAUGUGACAUUAUGUCAUUGGACCUCAUGUCAGCUGUAAUGAGUCUCUUCACAAACGUCAGAUUGCAACAAUUGGUCUCUUAACACGUGGGAAGAAACAUCUUUUGCGCAUGAUUGACCAACCAAGAGCCGAGAAGAAGGCGUUCCUGAGGUUUGUGCAACAGCAGCAUAUUUCUCCUACAGGAGGUUUUAGUAGCCACGAUGACAAGGACGUUUAGAUGAAUUGCUUCAGACUUGUAAAUCGCCUUUAUCUCCCAAAAUAAAGCCCGAGGAAUGCUUUUAAAACCGAAAAAUCACAGCAGAAAAUGCUGUCUUUUUUCAAUUUUCCUUUUGUAUUUUACUUUUAUUUGGGGAGAGUGACCGGUACUUCCUAGAUGCACCGACCAGAUUAGAAUCUGUUUAUUCUGACGUCCUUGUACUUAGAGCUUCCUUCAGUGUAACCUUAGAAACAUUCUGCAAGGACGAAGAAAAUCUGGUAGACUGUUAAUCUUCCGCAUUGUUUCUUGUGAAGGAAUGCUUAAUCUUUAACAUUAGGGAAACGUUGAUAGAAAUAAUUCAACAAUGGCUCAUUUGUCUGAUUCCUGUCUCAUAUUUUGAAAUAUUGGCACAAUAAAUGAUUUGAAAAUCAA